rnacentral:misc_RNA from 1 species
UGUUAAGCCAAUAUUCUGCAUCUUUACUAACAGUCAAGCCUUUUAACACUUCUUCAUGACUAGUGUCAAAACUGCUUCGGUGAAAAAAUAUAGUUGGCCAAUGAUAUAUAUUGGAAGCCUACCUAGUAUUCUUUGCUUAAAAAACUACAUUUUUUUAAUAUAUAAAAACAAAAUAAUAAGUACCAAAAAGUAAUACCUGAUAAUCCACAAAUACCCUG